rnacentral:pre_miRNA from 1 species
UUUAAACGCAGUUAUGAGUUUCUGGAUCCAACUUUGAUUAUCUGCUUAUUUGAAAUAUUUCUAUGAUUAGUCAUAUUUUAUUGUUAUUAGAUAAUAAAAAAUGAAUAAUACUUUAUAUAUGACUAAAAUUUUUUUAAUUUUUUAAAUAAAACGAACUAUUAAAAUUGAACACGAAAACU